AUUCUGUGGUGUGCUAACUAGUACAUCACGAGCAUUGUUUAUCUGCAUAUAUACACAUCUUAUAACGCUUGUGUCCUUGUGAUGUCACAACUUGGACCUAUUUAAUGGCCUUGUCCAUCUCCUUGUAUGCCUUGCCGUCUAGUCGUCCACCUUUUCUCCUUGCACCCAUCAGAAUCCAUUGCCUUCCCCGCGAGAUCCGCAGAGAACGGCCGCCAUGAGAGGCUCUGAUCAAGUUCCUAGGGCGGCUGUUCGUGCCCUGUGUUCUUCCUCUCUCUUUUAAUUUGUUGUUAGUUUGUUUGCCGUCAUGGCAGUGUUGAUGGCCGGACGGAAGAGAGCGUCCUUCAGUCCACUCAGGGGAGGUGCUAGGGUCGAAUUAGCUGCCGACUCAUUCACCCACAUGCCAAGCACCCGCCAUGGAAAGAGCUUAGCACAUGAGUGAAUGAAGCGGGAGCUGCAGGUUCUUGCUUCCAUCCAGUGAUCGAUCCAUGGAAGGUGGUGUGCACUGUUGUGGACUAGGACUGAACACGAUGCUUUUCUGGGUGUGGGAAUCUGUGGAAUCCACAUCUUUCGGUUCGUCCAACAGCGAGAUGUCUUUCGAUCGAUCUCCCUGUUUGCUUUGGAACUUUGCAUGCAACUAUUGAUUCGACGUAUGCUAGCAUAGCAGCUGGUGCUCCGGCCUUGCUUUUGGAGCAUGGCCACCACUUGGACUGGAUCAUCAAGUUUUCCAAGUUUCUUUUCUGGUGUCCCCCAUAAGAAAGAUUUCCCAAGGUCAUGUGAGACUGCUUAGGCACUUGUCUGUCCUUUGAGAUUUGUGAUUUAUCCCGGUAUUAGUGUUCAUGAUUUUGUGCUAGAUCCACUUGUGUUUUGCAUCAUCAGCAUGUUUUAUUUCCCACACAUGUUCGCCACAACCUUUGGUCUCUGAAAGUUAGUGAGCGUGCAUGUAGGGCCUUCUUUAGCAAGUGACUUUUUUUCACCCAAUAUAUGAAGGGAAAUUAGAAUGAUAGUCAAUUUGAAUAUACUACGAGAGUGUUGAGGCGUGGUAUGCUGGUUUUUUUCUUUUGUGAGUCUUUCACUGCAAUGAUUGAUUUAAUUGCUUCAGAACAAAUAUAUAUUUUUGUAAAUCUCCAAGAAGCGCCUACUACUUAAAUCAUCACAAAGUAACAAUAAUGUCCAGUCACACAGGGUUAUAUUUGUACUGGUAUCAUAUGUGUUUAUAUUUCUUUUCAGAAGUCGUAUAUCUUUUGUGAUGUUCAUCAUUUAUGGUUUUUCAAUAAAUUUUUUGAAAACAAUACAUGUUUUAUGAUUACUUACUAUUGUAGUCAUAAUUUCAAAGAGUUGGAUUAUGAUAUUUGGACUCUAGUCAGAUUAUUGCAGCAUCCUCUUACAUUGAGGGCCUAAUUGUUGUAUAUGUUUCAGUAGCAACUAUACACACACAUGCUAGGAUUAGGAUCCAUGGGAUGCUACAAAGGCAUUUCACUGGAGAACUUACCGUCAAAAACAUAGGAGAUCAAUAAAGAGUGCAGUGCAUUUCACUAAAGCCUCUGUCCAUCAAAAGACAUUGCUGUGGUCUGUGAUUGACUGACCAGCAGUCAACAAUGUGCAACCUUGCUGGCAUGCUUCUUGGGAAUUUAUGGAAGCCAUCCUCAAUUUGUUGUUAAAUUAGAGGCAAUUUAUAUUA